GAGAAUAAAAAAUGGGCCCAAGAGAAUGGAAAAUGAGCCCACGACACACUUGUCAAAUAUAGACAAUGCCCUCACUUUAGACCGCUUCCACUUCUACCGCCGCCUUGAGCUAUAUCAAAUGGAUCUAGGCAAACUCUUUAAGCAAGCUUUGGAAUGAAGUGUCUGUCUAGGUGAGCUGUACCUACUUAUAGUCUUGGCACCAAGCAUGAAGAAAUUGCCGAUUUGAGCUGCUAAGGUCGUCAUCUCCGAUAUGCUUCUGCCUGAUCCCUUUUUCUUCGUGAAGACUUUAUUCCAAUGUAAACGCCACUCUAUUUUUAUAGAUACGGAUUCAGUUUGAUUUUAAUUCAAGUCAUCUAAAAUCUCUCACCGGCGGCUGUGUAAAAGUCUGAGCAGAUGGAAUUAACUCGAAUGGAUCACAAUACAUACCAGAUAUGCAAAGACGUUUGACAGAAUGAAGAGUAAAAGAACUCGUUUCUAAAGAUGAGGACGUUUGAUAGAAUAAAGAGUGAAAGGACAAGAAAUAGAGAAUAAAAGAAGUCAGGACGUGCAUAAAUCAAAAGAUGUUCCCUCAAUACACUUGGAUAUUAAGCACAUGUUGGUGGGAAGGUCGCGCACCAAUAAAUCCAGAUGUUGUUGUUAUGGUUUGCAUUUUAUGUUGUUGCUUGAUAGCUGACUUUAUUUACAUCGACAGGUGUUUACUAAUGGAUUAGUCAAUGAUAUUUUACUUUCGUUUCA